AGAAAGUCAGCUAGCCUGCCCAGCAGCCUUGCUUGGAUAAGGUAUUCUUAUUUUGUGAAUUUUGCCAGAAUAAUUUACCUUAUCCUUGGAGACUGUUGGGAAUGAAUUUCUCAGUUGAAC
rnacentral:precursor_RNA from 12 species